rnacentral:lncRNA from 1 species
GUGUGUGGUAGAGUGCGUAUACUUAAAUGAUGGAUAAUGUACAUAUUAUAUCCUGUUUGCCUGCUUCCAUCUGUUGUGAUUGAAACAAUUGUACUCGUUACAACUCCAUUUUGUAACAGUUGAGGUGAACAGGUAGGACACUCCGGAAACAAAGGUAUUCCAGUCAACGAUUAAAAAAUUAAAAUUUGGUCAAAUUUAUUACAGUGCUUCUUUGAACCGACAUGAAGUAAAAUCUUUUUCCUAGAAGUGCAGGCCAGUCAGUCCGCCAUCCACGAAACUUCAUUCACAUUUCUGCCGCGAAGGCUGUCAACCACGUCUACCGCAGCAAGGGAGGCAAUUCAAUCCUUACUAAGAGGCUUAUGCUCUCCCUUUGGUUCUCUUCAUACAGAUGACAACCACUAGUAACCUCCAUUUGUGUGUCAGCAGCAAGUUUAGUCCAUGAUGUUUCAGGACAGUUUUCCGGUCCUUUAGUUCUCUCUCUACUGACCUUCGCCAUGUUUCCUUUGGCGGACCCGCUUCCUCUCGCCAUCUGCUGCCAAUGAAGGGCUAUGUUGGUUGAUGCCUCUAGUUUCAUUUUUCACACAUGCCCUAGCUGUUUUUAUCUUCUUUUUGGAUUUUUGUGGUCAUAUUUGUACACCUGGCUCUUGUAAAAAUUUAUUUAUUAGUAAUUAUAAGCCAGAAUAUCUUCACAAUUUUUCUCAGUCAUUUGGUUUGGAAGGUCUCUAGUUUCUUCUGAAUUUGCUGAUAUCUUUCCAGCACUCACUUCCAUAGAGGAAGACCGAAAGGAUAUUGUUUCUGAAGAUUCUUAAUUUUGUGCUCCUCCUUCGAGCUUUAGACUUCCAAAUUUCUGUUAUCAUAGUAAAGGCUUGAUUUGCUUUGAUGUCUUCACAAUAUAGUUCCACACAACCAUUGUACCAAAACAGGAAAACUCAAACCUGAAAUCAAUUCUCCAAGAUAAAGUAGCACAAUGAUUACUGCCAUCUCUACUAGUAAAAGAAAAUGAAAAAGAUGUUCUGUCUAAAGAAGAGAAUUUUCCGCAGCUUAUCAUUUGAACCAUAUGGCACACAGUUUCCUUCCACAGUUUUAUCAAAGUGAGUUAAUUUAUGCUUCCUGUAAUUUGAAGGCUCCGUUAUUAGUUGGGACCAUUGUAGCAUUUUGUACCCCACCCUCAAAUCACGGAUCUGGAGCAAAAAACUGAAAAUACUGAGGACCUCUUUCCCUUUGUCUGACAAACACUCUGUCAGAUGUGUCUUUAGUAACUCCUGGCCUGAUCACCAUCACCAGCAACUUUGACCUCUAGCUUGGUUAUUGCCUCUAGUGUCUCUCUUGCUUGCUCACUGUCAUAAUGUUUUUGUAUUAACUAAAAUUAUUAUGGUUUUCUCCUCUUCUGCACCACAAUGUCAGUUUGCGGAACAAGGCUGCUGAGAAAUGUGCUGAUCAGUCAGUAGAUAACUAGAGACGAGCUUUCAAAGUAACAAUGGCUAGAGUCUUGCCAGGCUGUGUGCUGCUCUUCUGGUGUUGGUCGUGCAUUGCACAAGAAACCUUACCACAGUGUGUAUCUCUCCAGUCAACAAUACGGUGUGGAGCUGGAGAACAUUUCGGAUUCAGUUUGCAUACUACGAUGUAAGAGACCGCUGCACUCAGAAGCCCUGCCUGAGAAACCAAGACAUUUCUCUGGUUCACUGAUCUGCGAGGGUGAGACGUCCUCCACGUGCUACCGACUGCUACCAUCAGGUGCCCUGGACGACAUGUACAACACAUGUGGGGAUGAGUUCUGUAAUCUCUGGGAGGUGGAUAAGUCGAUGUUUCCAUCAAUAGGUCCUGUCUGUGUGGUUUACACUUGUUCUGAUGGAAGUAGCCUCACGAUUGAAUGCCAGCCGCUGCCAGCAGGGACAUUCAUCAAGAACUGUAAGAUUUUUUUCGCAUCUUUUCGUAUCUCUAAGAGACAAUAAGCCAUCUCAAAAUUAGUCUUAAAUUAAGAAUAGGACUGUCAUUUUAUUUGCAAACUACUCAUAUUAUGUUUCAUCUCGUUCCAUUCUGCCUCUUUACUUUCACAGGCAGCAACUCCCUCUCACACAUGUAUGAGUGUAAGUUGUGUCCCAUCUAUUAAUACCAUCUGACACAUGUAUGAGUGUAAGUUGUGUCCCAUCUAUUAAUACCAUCUGACACAUGUAUGAGUGUAACUUGUGUCACAUGUAUCAAUAUCAUCUGACACAUGCGUGAGUAUAACUUGUGUCACAUGUAUCAAUAUCAUCUGACACAUGUGUGAGUGUAACUUGUGUCACAUCUAUCAAUAUCAUCUGACACAUGUGUGAGAGUUGUGUCACAUCUAUCAAUACCAUCUCACACAUGUGUGAGUAUAACUUGUGUCACAUGUAUCAAUACCAUCUCACACAUGUGUGAGUGUAACUUGUGCCACAUCUAUCAAUAUACUCUCACACAUGUGUGGAUGUAGAAAGGUUCUUACUAGCUUCUCACAGUGUGGGAGACACUAAACCAGCGCCAGAAAUUUUUUUUUAAUCCUUUCAAUGCUAUUAUGCCAUUGUAAGAAAUUUUGUUAUUUCUAAUUAUAUAUUUAUAUCACAUACUUUUCUUGUAUAAUUUAUUGUCUCUUUUAAAUACACCUGCUAAUAGUGUCCCAUCUUUAUGACACCCAGACAGCCUCUACUCUUUUCCACAGUUAGAGGCAGAUACAUUGCAAUCUAGUGUAAUUUGUAAAGUUUAUAUAUGUUAUGUUUGUAUAUGCAUUUACAGCAUCCUGUGAGUAAAAAUAUCUCAUGGAACAAAAUAUCUAAAUAUUAUAACGUUGCCUUAAUAAUUUUAAUACAGGAUUUUGAGUUUUAUUUAUUUAUAUUUGACAUUUAUCCCUUAUCAAGCAAAACAAUGGUCACAAUAAUUGGUCCUCCUCCGUUACCUCUCCAACAUCACUAUCGCCACUAUCAUAUCCAUCCAUCCCUUCCUCCUUCCCUCCUCCUCCUCCUCUUCCUCAUCAUCAUCAUCCUCAUCAUCACAUACAAUAAAGCUUUUUUAAUAAAAUUAAUAAAUAAAAUAGUGCAACACAGAUAAUCUGAACAAGUUAAAAAUAAAUUACAUGCCCCAGUAAAUUUUAUCGACAGCAAUGAUUUGAUGUUUAUCAAUAAUAUAUCACUACAUUAAUACCUUUAUUUUAAUACAGAAACUAUAGCUCAAUAAAUUUCUUCACAACAGUAAUUUCCUGUUUAAUAAAUAGUUUGUUAUCACAUCCUUAUUUUACUGUAUCUGUUUUAUUGCCCUUUAGUCGUUCUUUGACUUGAAUAAAGCAAUGUCGUGCUCAAGAUAACUUUUUCCGGAAUUCGCGAUCACAUUUUUUUUCCAUUUUGGUUAAAAGUUUCUUUGAGUCUCCGAUCUUUUGGUUGAUUCUGUUUUCACAGACGUCAAGUGAAGGUAUGUAAACCACAUGUCUGUGUGAUUUUAUCUUCAUUGUAUGUAAACAAAUGCAGUUAUUUUUUCCAAGAUUGUUUUGACAGGAUUUUAUUUCCUGUGUGGCUAUAAAGAUCCAUUUGAAACCUGUCUUUACACAAAAACCACUGACUAUCAUUAACGAUAUACGUAGCAUGGAAAAAAUAUAUAAAACAUCUUUAUUAGGACUUUUAUGUAAAAUGAAAAACCUAUGCAAACUCUUUUUUAUAUCCUUUAUUUUUAUUUUUUUUAAUUACUUAAAGAGAUUCAAUUGUAAUGUUAUUAUUUUUCUGUUAUAUCUCUGACUAUGAGAAAGAGAAUCCUGAAACCAGAAGCCACAAGACUUCAGUGAUCAACCAAAGACAAGGGAAGAAUGCAGGAGGGUACCACACUUCAGCCAAAACUCUGGGCAAGUUGCCAUUGGACAUGAGACCACUUCUUUGAUGAUUCAGGGUUCUGGCCAGUUUCACAGGGGUUUCAGGUGUAUCAGGACAAAAGGCAGCUCAAACAUUCUGAUUCCAGUCGCCACGUGACCAGGAUGAAGAAGAGAGGAAGGGCGUGUCGUCCAAAACAUGUUAGAGGCCUUCAAGUCUGAUAAUCGUCCUGUCGACUGAGCCAUGAUGUGGUGAGAGAGGAAGAGAAGGUUCAGACUUUUAGAACAAAAACAAUUACUAGAGAUGGAGAGCGAGUAAGUGAGAUAAAAUGGAAGAUGAAUAGUCAAUGGCUGGAACUGUCAGUCACUUCCUUCGUCUGCGUUAUCACUCAUGGCACACGCUCGCCGGACUUCUCAAUUCGUUGAAUCCAUCAACACACACUUCCACAACCAUGACGACCUCUGGCGGUGAUGAGGAGCCUGUCACAAACUGCAGGCAUCAAGUGUUUCCGGACACAAUGUGGAAGCCAAACAGAACUUCAUGUAGUGAAGGCGUGGUAUUAUUCCUUUUUACAAGAGAAAAGAGUUAAUUUGUUGUGGAAACGGAAAUAAAUGUACAUUUAUGUUGGUGUGUGUUCACUUUACAGCAAGACACCAUGUCAACUACAUAAUUUAGUAAAAAACCUCGUCAGAACAAACACUUUUACUGCAAAUACAGAAGUACAGGAUCUUGUGUACGCGCCUUUCCACUUAUUGUGACCAUCCACUAUGAACCAAACUAUGAACUAAACCUAUGCUAUUAAAACGUACUUUGUCAAGAAGAAAAUAAACUUUUCACUACUGUUCCACUUCAGUUAUAAAGUCCUUCUAGGAGAUUUUUGAAAGCUGUUUUAAUACUUUAUUAUCACAUUGCGAGGAAGUCAGCAAACUAACGGAGCCUCUACGGAGAUGACUUAGAGCUCCUUUCCUUCUGUCCAAAACUGUUCUAAAUGUCUACUCUCUCUUUCAUCUUUCAUCCUUCUCCAUUCCUAAACACCACUUCUAAGGCCUCACACAUUAUGUAGGUGUGUGUGGCAGUAUGUGUGUUUGUGUGUGUGUUUUCCGUAUCAAGCAAGACGGUGGUCAUUGUCAGAAUCCGUUGCACAAUUUUUGGAGUCUUGUUUUUAUCAGUUCUGCUUUUGCAGACGACAAGUAUAGGUACAUAUUUGUAUCUGUGUGACAGUCAGACACACAAAAUUAUUGUUCAUCAGCUUACAACUUUAUUUACACUAGAAACAGAUUAUUUGAAACUGCUAGGUUUUAUUUGAAAGGCUAUUUGGAAUUUUCUUUAAACAAAAGCUAGUGAAAUUUUAUUGUGAUCUGUUGAAAUACAUAGUGUACAUGUUA